rnacentral:lncRNA from 1 species
AAAACAAUUUACGUCAGGAGAGGCAAUCCGCUGUCUCGCGCGCGCCUCUCCGCGAGUGGCCGGGAGCGUGCUGGAGGCAUCGCGCUUGGGAGCCUCGCGGCAGUAUCCUGCGAAACGUGGCAAGGGACCUGUAAUGAGAUCUGCUGAGUAAUGCACACAAUAACGAAUAAGCGCUGCCCGCUAUGACUGCAGUCCUGCCCAAAAGGGAUCGUUACAACAGCUACACAUCUGCUUGGGCCUGUGUUCGGUAGGUGUCACAUACACUUUUUAAGUA